CCGCAGUCCGUUAAAUAAUAUGGAAAAAAUACCCAUCCCCAAUUCGUGCGGCCGCGCACCCCACCGAUGGAUCCGCCGCUCCCCCCCGCCGCCGGCACGCCAUCCUCCGCCGCGCCGUCCUCCCCGCACCCUGGCCUGUAUCCUCUCCGCCGCGCCCUCCUCCCCGCGUCGUCCGAGUCCUCCGGGCGCGGUUCGCCGAAGGCGAGGCCCAGGCCGAUGCGCUCCUGGCCCGCGCCGGCCGGUUCGAGCGCACGCCGCCGACCGCGACCAGCUGCUCAUCACGCUCCUCUCCGAUGCGGGAAACGGCCGAGAGGAGGAGGACGCGCGGGAGGCGGGGCAGCGUCCGAUCCGGCCGAGGCUUACGGCGACACGGACGCGGAGGCUCUGGUAGCUGUCGCUGCGCUCCCUCCGUUCACUACCUUCCCGUUUUGUUUGGUGAGAUUCUCUUCAGAAAACAAGAUUUGUAUUGGUGGUAGAUCGACAGCAACUGACAACAUCUUCGUCAUCCGCGGUGGCAGUGCCAUGCCAUCCGUGCGGAAUGCCUUCUGCGGCCGCGCCGCCACCACCGCCACCGCCAUGCAGCCAAUGAUGUCAGCAUGUGGUGAAAAAAGGGCCCAAGUGAAAGGUCGACCAAGCUGUAAAAAUUCAGUGAGAGGAAAUUUUGUGCUCACAGCUCACACCAUGGCGUCCGUUGCCUCUGUUCUUACUUUAUUAUUUUGUUUUUCCCUUCGUCGAUUUUUCACGUUGCCUGACAAGAACAAGAAUUGCAAAGGAGAAGUGAAAAGAAAACACAGAACAAAGGAUGAACGCCGGAGAGCACUACUAUAUAAUUUUCCCCCAAAAUAUGAUGGGCAGUGGUGUGCUUGUUUGCAUUGAUCGCAUGGUGGCCGGCACUUCACCACACAUCGUACGGCGACUGUUUUAUCCAUGAGGUGGAGGAUAAGAGAAGCGCAUCUCUGAAAUUCACAGUUCUGAACCUAAAGAGACACAUCUAGAAAAUGAUUGCACGAGUGGUUCCAGUGUCAUGUACAUCAACAUGGUUGGAGAUUUGGGAUCGGAUGCUGCGCCAAGAGCGAGGGACCGAGGUGCUGAACUAACAGCAGGGGGGAGGGUGAUUCUUCAGGUACCAACAUGGCUGUCGACUAGAGAAUUUAGUUAACCGUUUGCUUUACUUGAAGCUCCAAAUUGUAGUUAUUUUAUUCGUUCACUAAUUUGGUAUAAUCUUAAUCUAGGAGGACUAUGAUUGUAUGAUAUGAGAUCCUGACAUUUAGCAAUAAUAAAAGUCUGACACUAAAUGGUUCUUUUCGGAAGUACAGUUGUAAGAUCUAUGAUUCUAGCUUCGACCUUUAACUGGACAGUACUAAUUGGACAUAUAAUUGAUUAUUUAUGCACAACAAGAUAUUCUGUUUGUUUUAGUUUUUCAAUCAGAUUCAUCUAGCCCUUUGUUGACUUUCUAAUUGUUCCACCCUCUACCUCUGAAACUCAGAAAUCAGAGAGAGGUCAUUGUCAUAUUCCUAUCUCUGACGAAAAUUUGCUAGCGAGGAAGAGGACCAGAAUGUUUUUUCUAUUGUUGGGGAUAUACAUAAUACAUAUAGAUAAAUUUGGACCAUUUAUAACAGAGAUUUCUUGCCAAAAAUAUUAACUCUGUCCAGCAGUGGGCACUGUCAAGGUAAUAACAGGAAUUUGCUGAACCUAAUUGAAAGAAAGAGGGAUGGUAAUCCGAUUGAGAACAUUCUCUAACUAAAAUAGACUUACGAACAAUCAACAAUAUCAAAUAGUUUCAAAUUAACAAAUGUUGUUUGAUUAAAAUACUGAUUUAAGAAUUUGGCGAAUCUAUAAUUCUCUACAUAAUCACUUGGUGCAUUGUUAGACCACUUGGGGACACUACCAUCAAUUUCUUGCAUACUGCAAUAAUGCAAGUUUAAAAAGCCAGUUUCUUGUGUUUCUUAUUAUCUCUGUGUUCAGCUAACUGCCAAGAAUCAUAUAAGGAUGCAUCUAAUGAGGUAGAUUUUGUUUAUGCAUUUUUUAAGUGUAGGGAUGUUGUAUCUGAUUAACAAAACAUUGUUCAACCUUCUACGAGUCCACCUAGGGAGCUGCACAAAUUUGAAACAACUUCCAGAACAUGCAUCCAAGCAUUUUGGUCUGCUACCAGUAAGUUGCCAGAGCAAGAUAGCUGGGAGUCUGGGAUGUCGAGUCGUCGAGCCGUCCAAUGCCAAGUUCGCCAGCGGAAGGAGAACAUCCGUCAAGGCGUCCGUCGCCUGAGGCGGCUACACCAGAGGUCCGUGGGUUACUACUCCUUUGCUCUUGCUGGCGACCGGCCUCCAGUGUAGCACUUGCUUGAGAUCUGAUCUAGAACUGAAUUGUGCCCUGCUUUGCUGUGGUCGUAUGCUCUGUGUCCACCGAUGAGUUUCAGAUACAGAUUAGGACCAAAAUUGGAGUAGGUUCAGUCGCGCAAAUGUUGUAUCACUUUGUCAUGGGUAUUGUGCUGCUGAAUUGCUUGUUGGACUGUUCAAACUAAAGUCGUCCAGUCAGUUUGCUACAAUGUUCAUUUGUUUACUUUGGAAGUUCUGUAGAAUUUGGGCCUGAUCACUUUUGAAUUUGUCUGUGGUUUGAGAUUAAUCUUUCCGAGAUGUUAGAGAGUGGGUCCAAGGAUGGAUCUGCCCAUCAGUGUGCAGAGGAUCUUCUAAUUCCUGCAGCUAAUCUUGAUUCAUG
rnacentral:rRNA from 1 species